rnacentral:rRNA from 1 species
UACGGAGGGUGCAAGCGUUAUCCGGAUUUACUGGGUUUAAAGGGCGCGUAGGCGGCUUGAUAAGGUUGCGGUGAAAGCCCGGGGCUCAACCCCGGGCCGGCCGUGGCAACUGUCGAGCUGGAGCACUGUAGAGGCAGGUGGAAUUCCGGGUGUAGCGGUGGAAUGCGUAGAGAUCCGGAAGAACACCGGUGGCGAAGGCGGCCUGCUGGGCAGUGGCUGACGCUGAGGCGCGACAGCGUGGGGAGCAAACAGG